ensembl:lncRNA
UGCUGGGGGUGUGAGGAAGGAAAGGAAAGGAAGGGCGACGCUCCCAUGCUGGAUGGAGGCUCAGAGUCAGGAGUCCCUUUACUUCCGAGUGGCCCCCGCAUCCAUGCCCCUCUCGUUCAGGCCACCUCCCUCCCCUGCUUGUCCUUUCCCAGCCCUCUCCCUCCACCUCUGACCAUGGGAGACAGGACAGGCGAGAAAAAGAAAGAGGAGAUUGGGGAUGGGGUGGACGCAGAGGAGGAAACCUUACUUCUCCCCCAGCCCACCCUUCAGCUGAAAAACAGCUCCUGUCACCUUAACUUAACUCUAACCUCCCCAGCAAGCCUUCUGCACAGCAAAGCUGCUUUUAGCAUUUGCUCAUUCCAAGCUGAGAUGGGAAUUACAUGGGAAAGCACUCUUAUUUCUUCCCUCCCAUCCUGGAGGAGAGACUCAUGCAAGUAAACAAGAAAACGUUAAGAAAACAAGAACAAGCCCUUCAGUAGACUGUACUCGUAGAUGCCCUAAGAGAUUCUGUAAAAUACAGCCGAUCAAUGAAUCAGAAAGAGAAAAGAACAGAAGGCAGAGAAUACUGAAAAUAGUACCUGCCUGUAAACCCCGGAAUGCCACUCACCUGGGAUGUGCCAGCUGGUGAGAUGAGGGAACUGAAGCCUCUGAAAUGAAGAUGCUUUUCCCAGGGCCACCAGCUGUUGGGUGAUGGAUGCGGUCCUAGAAGCCCCCUCUUCUGCCAACUGGGCACCCACAGCAGCUGGGCUCCAGGGUGGGCGCUGCGAGACAGCCAAGUCCUUUCCACCUCCCUAACUCCUUGUUAUUAUUUAUGUCUGACUUCCAAAUGGUGCUGAUCGGUUGUGCUAAUAUACUCUAAAGAUUUCUGCCCAACUGCAGUCUGGCUGACCUUUCUGUAAUCUUCCUUUGCCAGAUUCUGGGAAAGAUCUAAAGGGAAAUUAACAAUGAUGUUGAGUUUUUUUAAGGUUAAAACCUUGAUUUCAGUUUUCAAAUCACUGCCUUUUUAUUUAAGCUUUGAAAAUUUUCCAGAAUUUCCAGGUUUUUCUUAUAUAGGAAUAUACUGCUUUCAAAACAACCCAAGCAACUACAAAGUGGCUAGAAUUAACCUGUAAAAUAAUUAAUAGGAAUAUUAUGUGAUGCUCAAUUCAAGACAUCUUCAAAGAUGAGCAUAGCUAUGU